GGAGGCGUCAGGGUUCCUGGUGGGCCCCCCGGUCUUCAAAACCGGUGGGACCGAGCAUCUCGGUCCGGCGGGUUCGAUUCCCGUCCGUCUCCG
rnacentral:tRNA from 1 species